AGUGAACGCUGGCGGUAGGCCUAACACAUGCAAGUCGAACGGCAGCACAGUAAGAGCUUGCUCUUACGGGUGGCGAGUGGCGGACGGGUGAGGAAUACAUAGGAAUCUACUUUUUCGUGGGGGACAACGUAGGGCAACUUACGCUAAUACCGCAUACGACCUACGGGUGAAAGCAGGAGAUCUUCGGACCUUGCGCGAUAGAAUGAGCCGAUGUCGGAUUAGCUAGUUGGCGGGGUAAAGGCCCACCAAGGCGACGAUCCGUAGCUGGUCUGAGAGGAUGAUCAGCCACACUGGAACUGAGACACGGUCCAGACUCCUACGGGAGGCAGCAGUGGGGAAUAUUGGACAAUGGGCGCAAGCCUGAUCCAGCCAUACCGCGUGGGUGAAGAAGGCCUUCGGGUUGUAAAGCCCUUUUGUUCGGAAAGAAUAUCAGCAGGUUAAUACCCCGCUGUUCUGACGGUACCCAAAGAAUAAGCAACGGCUAACUUCGUG
rnacentral:rRNA from 1 species